UUGGCAUAUUAUUCUAUAUAUUUGCAAAAAAGCAUAAUAAUUUUUUUCCAAUAUUAUAUUUUGUAAAUUUCUUAAAUUUUCUACAAGGUAAUAAACUGAAAUAAAAACGAAAGUAGUAAAAUAACAAAAAAAUAAAUUCAGCUUUUAAAUAAAAAAUAAUAAAAAAAGAAAAACUUUCACAUGUUUGUAAUAUGUACUAAAUAAAUUGAGAUAAAAUAAUUGUGAUAAUUGGUCAGCUGAAUAUUCUGCGCCAGCUGUCAAUUGUUUACAAAACUGCACACAGACAACAAGAGCUACAAUUUUCCAAUUGGGCAUUGUGACCAGAGAGUAUUUGGGAAAAAACAGCUUAACAAAAAUCAUUGCAAUUUUGGUAAUAAAAAGA